UGUUGUCCUUGCCUGGUAACUCCCAUAGGAAAAACUACAAAUCUCGUUCGUUUAGUCGCCGGUAUCGUUUGAGGGUGUUUUAUGAUUGCUGAAAGUUGCUGCGGUUCUUCGCUUGGUCGUCUGCCGUUUACUAGACUGAUGCUAUUUGAUCACCACUGGACCUGCUGUUUCCAGGGACUACGAUGGUAACUAUUUUUUUCUCCAGAAUAAUGAGUCUUGGUGGCGAGGGCUUUUAUUGGCAGUUACUGGGCGGAGAUCCUGGAUUUAGAGUAAAUGGAUCUGCUGGGAACUUAAUGGAUUACGCAGAGUUAGAAAUUUUAUCUUAACCUGGGUGAACUGAAUUAUUGUAAAACUAGGAGCCAUUGUAUCUUCAUGGAUUAUGCGCAGAUUAAGCAAUUUUCUCAACGUGAUUGAACUGAAGUUUUGCAAAACGAGUAAGUAAGAUUUUCAAAUGAGCUAUGUACAGUUUUCAAGGAUUCCUUAAAUGGUAUUACAACGUGCUUGAACUGAAGUAUUGCAAAACUAGUAAGUUUUAAGAUUUAUGAAUAAAUAGUGAGCUAUGUACGGUUUUCAAGGAUCCUUUAGAUGGUAUUAGACUAAGUAGUUGAUAUUGUAAUUGUGGAAUAAACUUUUAAUUGCAUAUUAGUAAAACUUAAAUCCUAAAACCCGUGUAUUAGAGUAUGUACUACGAAUAAAUUAAUGGUUUUUUAGUCUAUUUG